rnacentral:rRNA from 1 species
GACAGAGGGGGCAAGCGUUGCUCGGAAUCACUGGGCGUAAAGGGCGCGUAGGCGGCGCGGAUAGUCGGCGGUGAAAGCCCGGAGCUCAACUCCGGGUCGGCCGUCGAUACUUCCGGGCUUGAGCACUGUAGAGGCAGAUGGAAUUCCGGGUGUAGCGGUGGAAUGCGUAGAGAUCCGGAAGAACACCGGUGGCGAAGGCGGUCUGCUGGGCAGUUGCUGACGCUGGUGCGCGACAGCGUGGGGAGCAAACAGG